rnacentral:rRNA from 1 species
GCGAACAGGAUUAGAUACCCUGGUAGUCCACGCCGUAAACGGUGGAUGCUGGAUGUGGGGACCAUUCCACGGUCUCCGUGUCGGAGCCAACGCGUUAAGCAUCCCGCCUGGGGAGUACGGCCGCAAGGCUAAAACUCAAAGAAAUUGACGGGGGCCCGCACAAGCGGCGGAGCAUGCGGAUUAAUUCGAUGCAACGCGAAGAACCUUACCUGGGCUUGACAUGUUCCCGACAGCCGUAGAGAUACGGUUUCCCUUCGGGGCGGGUUCACAGGUGGUGCAUGGUCGUCGUCAGCUCGUGUCGUGAGAUGUUGGGUUAAGUCCCGCAACGAGCGCAACCCUCGCCCUGUGUUGCCAGCACGUCGUGGUGGGAACUCACGGGGGACCGCCGGGGUCAACUCGGAGGAAGGUGGGGAUGACGUCAGAUCAUCAUGCCCCUUACGUCCAGGGCUUCACGCAUGCUACAAUGGCCGGUACAACGGGAUGCGACCUCGUGAGGGGGAGCGGAUCCCUUAAAACCGGUCUCAGUUCGGAUUGGAGUCUGCAACCCGACUCCAUGAAGGCGGAGUCGCUAGUAAUCGCGGAUCAGCAACGCCGCGGUGAAUGCGUUCCCGGGCCUUGUACACACCGCCCGUCAAGUCAUGAAAGUGGGUAGCACCCGAAGCCGGUGGCCUACCCCCUUGGGGGGGAGCCGUCUAAGGUGAGGCUCGUGAUUGGGACUAAGUCGUAACAAGGUAGCCGUACCGGAAGGUGCGGCUG